GGUAGCCAAGCCGGGAAGGGAUAAACGCUGAAGGCAUCUAAGCGUGAAGCCCCCCUCAAGAUGAGAUAUCCCAUGCGAAAGCAGUAAGACCCCUUGAAGACGACGAGGUAGAUAGGGCAGAGGUGGAAGUGUGGCAACACAUGGAGCUGACUGUUACUAAUAGGUCGAGGGCAUAACCAA
rnacentral:rRNA from 1 species